UGAGCUGUGAAAAGCACGUUGACAAGUUGCUUGGUUUGGUUUGGGUUUUUUUUUCCCCCAGAAAAAGUAUCUGGCAAAUAGAAUUCACUUUAAUGGAGCUCAUCUCUUUAGAUGUACCCGUGGUCUCUUGUGAACUGCGGGGUGUUGGGAUACUGUGCUGGACCAUAAGGCUGGUAUCUUGGUUAAAUCAAAAUAUUUGAAACAAUAGAAUCAUAGAAUCACAAGGCUGGAAAGGACCUACAAGAUCAUCUAGUCCAACCAUCCUCCCAUUACCCUUGCUACCACAAGCUACUAAACCAUAUCUCGUAGCUCCUCAUCCAGACACCUUUUGAACACUGCCAGGGACAGUGACUCCACCACCUCCCUGGGCAGCCAUUCCAGUGCCUGACCACUCUCUGAGAGAAAAGGUUUUUCCUUAUGUCUAAUCUAAACCUCCUCUGGUACAACUUGUGGCCAUUUCCUCAGGUCCUGUUUGUUGCCUGGGAGAAGAGGCCAAACCCCUCCUCAUCACAACCUCCCUUUAGGAAGUUGUAGUGUGCAAUGAGGUCUCCCCUGAGCCUCCUCCAGACUGAACAAUCCCAGCUCCCUCAGCCUCUCAUAAGACUUGUGCUCCAGACCCCUCACCAGUUUCAUUGCCCUUGUCUGGACACGCUCCAGGGCCUCAAUGUCUUUCUUGUAGUGAGGGGCCUACAACUGAAUACAGUUCUCGAGGUGCGGCCUCACCAGUGCUGAGUACAGGCGGAUGAUUAUCUCCCUGCUCCUGCUGGCCACACUAUUUCUAAUGCAGGCCAGGAUGCCGUUGGCCCUCUUGGCCACCUGAGCACACUCUUGGCUCAUGUUCAGCUGAGCAUCCACCAAAACCCCCAGGUCCCUGGGGGUUUCAAAAAGGUAUAUACUACAGCCUGCACAUCUGUAACAUGCAGGUAUUAAUAUUGUUUACCAAGAGGUCAGAUGAGCUGUGAAGCAGCAAAUAGCAAAGAGGCAGAACUACAGAAGCAGAGAGAGGAGAUAGGCCCUGGAUAUUAGUAAAAGUCAAAACUACUUCAGAUUCCUACAGUUCUACAUCAUGUCUAAACCAGCAUUUAAAUGAGUCAUUUUUCCCCUGUCUCCAUACCUGCACCUGAUAUCUGGUGCAGGCACUCAUAUGUCAGUUUCAUGAUGCCGUGAACAGAAGCGCUUCUGCUCCAAGUGAUUUAUCAACGGGCUGGGAUGGAAGCAUACAGUUCUUGUUUAGUCCACCUAAAAACUCAAGAAUGUGAAUACUACAGUACAGUUACCUUAAUUACUGUAACGUGCCUACAUUUUCAGGCUGCCUUCCAUCAUAUUACCCUCUGUGCUUCAAAAAUUUAUUUUGUGUACUUCGUAUUUAAUACACAGAAUGAGCACUUUUUUUGUUUUAAAUUGCAGAAAGAUACAUGCGAUAUUUCCCUGACAACAGCUGAGAAUUGUAAGAACAAGGAAUUGUGAUUUCCAGAAUGCUUGGCAAAGGUGCAUGUGCCAGAGUGAACUGCGUAUGAAAAGGCCAUGCUUUUUGUGUUUAUUUUCCUCUGGCUAAAGGAAAGAAGUGCAAACACUUUGUCACAUUUGCAUUGAUGUAAUGUAUGGUCAGUCUUUUCUGUGUGCUUCAAAAAGUUCUCUCAAGAAAUACAAAUCUUGUAGUGGGAUUUUAUAAAUACUGUACUUGUAUGUUCUGUCUAUGUAAUAGCCAGUCAGUGGUAGUAAAGGAGUUGGACUGCAGCCCCCUGCAGUAUUCUUGGGAUUUUCGAGAAACAAAAUCCAAUGUCUGGUACUACAGCGCCAAAUCUGGAUGGCAGACUGUGACCACUGAAAGUGAUAGGUGAAUUUGGUCUUGGACUCCGGGUCUUCAAUAGCCUCAGUUAUUGUUACGGUAAUGAGGUAACCGAAUAUGGGUAUUUCUUAGGUGCUAAAGUAAAAGGUCUGAUCCUGCUUUCCUGUAUGCCUUUAUACAUUAGAAACAGCUCUUUAUUUCUUCAAGGUAAAGGACUGCAUUGAAAAUGUCAGUAAAACCAAUGUGGAAAACACAGAAGCUUUGUUAGGCUGAAAGAAUACACAAUGAGAGUAUAAUGGAGAAAGGUUUGGAAUACCGUUGUCUGUGUACUACAAAGAUUACUGAGUUAUUCCUGUCCUGAGACAGUAACUCCUUAAAGCACAAACUUGUAUGAAUGUGGUUACUGCUUCUGAUGGAUUAGGUAGAGACAGUGUGCUUCUCUGGACACAGAGUGUGGUUAAUCAGCAGCCUGGCUAGUCCCUCUACAGGUAAUGGAGAGCUGGUUCCCUGCUCUCACAGCUGAAAAGAAUUACAUAUAUAGGGGAGAGCAAAGUCAAGACCGUCGUUGUGAAAGCGAACGCUAUGAAUUUUUCCCUUGAAUGUGUGUAUCUUACUUGCACAGCUCUGAGUGAUAGAAUGAAACAAGUGAUUAUUUUCUCCUAAAAAUGUAAUCUAUAUUCUACUAUUCACCUUUACGUGGUCUUGCUCUUUAGAAAAUAAGCCUAUUUUUCUAAGUCAGUAUUUCUUCUAAAGGCUGAGAUUCGUCUUUUUCAUACUCUGAUUCUGAUCAUUCCACAAAGAAGAUGGUAGAAACCUGAUGUUAUUUUUUCAUAGAGGAUUAAUUAGAUGUGUGGCUAUCCUUAAACUUUGCUCAGUGGCCCCUGGAUGUAUAUGUAGUGCAUAUUCUGAAGCACUAAAGGUCAUUGUGUUUUGUUAUCGUAAUUAACGGUUGUCAGAACAUUUUCUGAAGUUGUUUUUUUGUGGGUUGUCUUGUUUGUUUGUUUGUUUGUUUUUGUAUCUUGCACCUCCAUUCUUAUUCACUUGUUACUACAUGUAAAAAGAAUCUUUUAUAGUCAGGCAUUCAGUGCAUAGUAAGAUUAAAUGUUGAAAGUUGACACACAGCAAUAUUGAUUAUUCUGUAUGUUUCGUGCGUUAAAUUUCUUGUCCCUGUGGGACAAUUAUAACAUAAACAUAACAGGAGUCUUGCAAAACAGCCUCAAGAGAAUUAGUGGCUCAGUAAAGGGAGAGUACCAAAAUGUUCUCAGCAAACUUGUUCUGAACCUCAAGUACAGUACAUCUGCAAUGCUGUGCAAGAAUAAAACUUUUCUUGGUUGUUAGAUGUAUGUUUUGUUCUGUAGAAAGGGAUCCCUGAAUGCUGACAUUUUUCUACUGACCUUGACUGUCAUUGGGAUUAUAUUUAUUUAAUUUUAUUGUGUUAUUAAUUGCACCUUGUGGACAGAGGACGUAAACGUGGUCAGUUUCACAAGGGGCCACCAUUUAUAGAUAGCCUGACGGUUUUUGUGUGAAUAAUAUUUACAUUUGAAACAGCUGUUGAAGAAAUCCUAUAUCCAAAUCAGCAGAAAGCAGACCUCCUGAAAAUGUUUUUAGAAAGAAAAUAACAAUUCUUACAGAUUUUGAACAUAGCUUUGGAACAGAGCAUGAAUUGCUUUAAAACAUGUACUUUCUCAGAAGGUCUGUGUAAUUCCACAUUGCUGUUGUGUGUGAGUUUUUAAUCUCCUUGCUUGUGAGGUUUCUGUGUCCAAAGGCAAGUCGCUUUUCCCCCAUUGUUCUCUCUGUUCUGCUCUGCUCCUUUACAUCUGUAUGAUCUGGUGGAGGUGAGUGGAGUUGCAUAGAUGUGACUCAGCACGUCUUCUUCUGACAGUGUGACGGUCCUCCCAACCCAAAAAAAAAACAAAUAAAACACGAAUCCUCUUUCUCUUCAUCACAUUUCAUUGCCCCCUCCAAGGUCACCUCCACAAGACAUCUAAAACUCCUAGUAGUGGGAAAGCUAGGGAAAAGACUGUUUUGUGGACACCGAUGUCAAUACUGUAUGCAUGUGGAAACCUCUUCAAAAGAGAAAAGCAUUAAGAAGUAUAGAGGCACAAUGAUGCAUUUUUGUCCUCUCUGUGAUCAGUAUUGAAAACAUUACCAUUUAUUUAAAAAUAAAAAGGUAUUUUCCCUCCUCAGUUACUCUGCUAUGCAAACAUCUGUUAUGCUUAAUAUUCCCCAUCUGAACUCGUCAGUUAACUUGGUUUGCAGAUAGACUUUUUCCUGGAGUGGGUUGUAAAUAGCCUUUAAUGUACAUUGAAUGAAUUUCACAUUGUAAAAUUUUUAUUUUAUUCCUUGUAUUAUAUUAAGUGAAAAUCCCUGUGUAUAUGAAAGUGCAUAAUAAAUAUAUUUGCUUUUCAGCAGAC
ensembl:lncRNA